rnacentral:rRNA from 1 species
CCUACGGGAGGCAGCAGUGAGGAAUAUUGGUCAAUGGCCGCAAGGCUGAACCAGCCAAGUCGCGUGAGGGAUGACGGUCCUAUGGAUUGUAAACCUCUUUUGUCAGGGAGCAAAGGGCGCCACGUGUGGCGCUUUGCGUGUACCUGAAGAAAAAGCAUCGGCUAACUCCGUGCCAGCAGCCGCGGUAAUACGGAGGAUGCGAGCGUUAUCCGGAUUUAUUGGGUUUAAAGGGUGCGCAGGCGGAAUGUCAAGUCAGCGGUAAAAUUUCGGGGCUCAACCCCGUCGUGCCGUUGAAACUGGCGUUCUUGAGUGAGCGAGAAGUAGGCGGAAUGCGUGGUGUAGCGGUGAAAUGCAUAGAUAUCACGCAGAACCCCGAUUGCGAAGGCAGCAUACCGGCGCUCAACUGACGCUCAUGCACGAAAGCGUGGGUAUCGAACAGGAUUAGAUACCCGAGUAGUC